rnacentral:rRNA from 1 species
CGGCGGACGGGUGAGUAACGCGUGGGUAACCUGCCUCAUACAGGGGGAUAACAGUUGGAAACGGCUGCUAAUACCGCAUAAGCGCACAGUACCGCAUGGUACGGUGUGAAAAACUCCGGUGGUGUGAGAUGGAUCCGCGUCUGAUUAGCCAGUUGGCGGGGUAACGGCCCACCAAAGCGACGAUCAGUAGCCGACCUGAGAGGGUGACCGGCCACAUUGGGACUGAGACACGGCCCAA